UACGUACGUACGUAUGUACGUGCGUGCGUGAGUGUACACACGUGCGUACGUGAGUCCCUAUUGAUUAACUGUUAUGUCCUUCAAGCAUGAAUUAAUUAACAUCUUUUGGUUAUUAUAUGCCACCCCGGAAUAUUCAAUAUAAGCUCAGCUUCUACAAUUGAUUCGUCAGUAAUUAAAUCCGAGUUUGCCUACAGUGGAUUUGGCAGGGACCAGGCCUUCCGCGAUGGGCUGUUGGGGAAAUCGCAUGAGUCAAUCUAUAGAGCAUGUUUCAUCAGUGUCUGGCAUAUAGAGACUAUGGUUGAGAUUAAACAAAAUUAUCUCUAAGUAAAGCAUGAAAGUGCCUGGAAUAUAAAAGGCAAAGUAGAAUAAAAAGUAGCUGCUCUCCUGCUGAUGGUGAUUUCUAUGGCGAUGGUGACAAGGACGUUGACUCUCUACUUGGGAUUCAAGAAGCCUGGUCACAUCUGGAAAGGUUGACAAUCUAGGAAGGGAAGAGGAGUUCAUGCUUCAUGUGGUACACCUCCAACUCUCCUCUGAAGGAAAGAAGUAAAUUGUUAUAACAAAGAACACCAGCGAAGUCUUGUCAACAUCACUUUCUGAUGGCAAAGCCCGGUAAAGUUGAAUACAUGAAACUACAUUUCCCAAGAUCCUUUGCCAACUGGCUCGCCAUGAGAUUCAGCCAACGGUAGGUACUAACGGAUGAUUUGAAGUCUGGAGAAGGGCCAUCUUAUGGGAGCAUGUUUCCUUCCCUCUCUGCCUCAGCUUGUGUCAUCUGGAGAAGAGCUCGUCUGUCCUCUAGUAUGUCCCAGGGCUUGCUCCAAUCACGUUGAAGUCCAGCUUCCACUAGCUGGCCCUUGCUCCCAGUUUCCAACAACACUGUCUGCUCUUCUGCUUCCUCCAUUUUGGGGUGCAGUAGUUUCCUGUUUGGGUCAUUGCUAAGACCCUAUUUGCUUUCUCUGGUUUUCCAUCACCAUAUGACCAAUUUUCUGCAUUAAAUUUAUUCUGUUCCAAGUAUUUAGAUUGGUUUCUUUCUUCUGACGAGACCCAGGCACAUACAGUGGUCAUUUUUGUCAUAUUCUAUGGCCACCAUAGAGAUUGUGUCAUCGCCACUUUCUUCUAAAUUUAUGAAGCAAGAACGUAUUCCAUAUGUGCACUGAUUAUUUUAAGUCUACCACUUACUGAGCAGCCACUGUGCACCAGGUAUUGUAAUGGAUGCCAUCCAGCCUAUUUCUCUUCAGCCUCACUGCAAGACACAG
rnacentral:lncRNA from 1 species